GUGAGGACUCGGGAGGUGGAGGGUGCGCCGCCCGGCCGGGCUCGGCCUCAGCAUGCUUCUCCCCCCACCUCCUCUCUCCUCAG
rnacentral:pre_miRNA from 1 species